CCUACGGGCGACAGCAGUGAGGAAUAUUGGUCAAUGGGCGUAAGCCUGAACCAGCCAAGUCGCGUGAGGGAUGAAGGUUCUAUGGAUCGUAACCCUCUUUUAUAAGGGAAUAAAGUGUGGGACGUGUCCUAUUUUGUAUGUACCUUAUGAAUAAGGAUCGGCUAACUCCGUGCCAGCAGCCGCGGUAAUACGGGGGGUGCAAGCGUUGUCCGGAAUCAUUGGGCGUAAAGCGUUCGUAGGCGGUAUGUCAAGUCUGAUGUUAAAGCCCGGGGCUCAACUCCGGUUCGGCAUUGGAUACUGGCAAACUAGAAUGUGGUAGAGGUAAAGGGAAUUCCUGGUGUAGCGGUGAAAUGCGUAGAUAGCAGGAGGAACAUCGGUGGCGAAAGCGCUUUACCGGACCAUUAUUGACGCUGAGGAACGAAAGCCAGGGGAGCAAAUGGGAUUAGAUACCCCAGUAGUC
rnacentral:rRNA from 1 species